rnacentral:rRNA from 1 species
GGACGAACGCUGGCGGCGUGCCUAACACAUGCAAGUCGAACGGACGAGGGAGCUGCUCCCAAGUUAGUGGCGGACGGGUGAGUAACACGUGAGCAACCUGCCCUUCGAGGGGGACAACAGCUGGAACGGCUGCUAAUACCGCAUGACACAGCGGGGAGGCAUCUCCCUGCUGUCAAAGAUUUUAUCGCCGAAGGAUGGGCUCGCGUCUGAUUAGAUAGUUGGUGAGGUAACGGCCCACCAAGUCAACGAUCAGUAGCCGGACUGAGAGGUUGAACGGCCACAUUGGGACUGAGAUACGGCCCAGACUCCUACGGGAGGCAGCAGUGGGGAAUAUUGGGCAAUGGGGGGCAACCCUGACCCAGCAACGCCGCGUGAAGGAAGAAGGCUUUCGGGUUGUAAACUUCUUUGACGAGGGACGAUAGUGACGGUACCUCGAAAACAAGCCACGGCUAACUACGUGCCAGCCGCAGC